rnacentral:rRNA from 1 species
GAUGAGCGCUAGCGGCAGGCUUAACACAUGCAAGUCGAGGGGUAAGUCAUUUCGGUGACUGAGACCGGCGCACGGGUGCGUAACGCGUAUGUAAUCUGCCUUUUACAGGGGGAUAGCCCAGAGAAAUUUGGAUUAAUACCCCAUAGUAUUAUUGAAUGGCAUCAUUUAAUAAUUAAAGUUCCAACGGUAAAAGAUGAGCAUGCGUCCUAUUAGCUAGAUGGUAAGGUAACGGCUUACCAUGGCGACGAUGGGUAGGGGUCCUGAGAGGGAGAUCCCCCACACUGGUACUGGGACGCGGACCAGACUCCUACGGGAGGCAGCAGUGAGGAAUAUUGGUCAAUGGGCGCAAGCCUGAACCAGCCAUGCCGCGUGCAGGAUGACGGUCCUAUGGAUUGUAAACUGCUUUUGUACAGGAAGAAACACUGGUUCGUGAACCAGCUUGACGGUACUGUAAGAAUAAGGAUCGGCUAACUCCGUGCCAGCAGCCGCCGUAACAC